AAAUCAAUCCUGUUGUUCUAUAGACACAUGUCAGGCUCUGUGUACACUUACGUUUGUUUAUAUUGUAGAUAAAAUUUGCCAGAUGGGAAAAAUCCAUUGGCGCUGCGGAGCCGGAGAGUUGGCCUGGUGGAAGUGAUCAGACGAUACCUUCCAUAGAAUGCCACCAUAAAUAACCAAGACUCACCAGUGACCUCCAGACUACACUGCUGUGGAUCAUAUAUCUGCUAGUUUUCCCACCCAAAAUCUGGAUAAGAAUGCUGCAACAAUGUCAAGAACAUCCAUGGCUGGUUUAAAGACCCUUUGUAAGUGAAAGUGAAAAAUCCAAUAAAUA